AAUUGAAAAUUUUGUGAAUAAAUGAAUCCUAAUUUCUUUCGUGUCAAUUGAACCCUCAAACCGAGUUGUUUGCAAAUUUUGUCUUUUGCUUAUGUCUAAGUAGGGAACAUUAUUGAAUAAAUUUGGUUUUGGAAUCUAAAGUUUGGGAGAGUAAAGUAAAAAGAGUUGAUUAGAACUUGGAAAAGUGAGUUUUUAUGAAAGGGUGAAAGUAUGAAAAGAAACAAGAAAAAGAAAUCACCCUUGAAAUCAUAGAGCAAAGAAAAAGAAAAGAAAGAAAAAACAAAGAAAAGGCUCAUGGUUGUGUGGAUGUAAAAAAAAAUAAGAAAAGAAAAAAAGACGGGGAUCAAAGUAAUGGAAAUUGUGUAGAGUUGAAUGUAUGGGAAUGUUCC
rnacentral:lncRNA from 1 species